rnacentral:rRNA from 1 species
GACGAACGCUGGCGGCGUGCUUAACACAUGCAAGUCGAGCGGUAAGGCCCUUUCGGGGGUACACGAGCGGCGAACGGGUGAGUAACACGUGGGUGACCUGCCCUCAGCUCUGGGAUAAGCCUGGGAAACCGGGUCUAAUACUGGAUAUGACUCCAUGACGCAUGUUGUGGGGUGGAAAGCCUUGUGCGGCUGAGGAUGGGCCCGCGGCCUAUCAGCUUGUUGGUGGGGUGAGGCCUACCAAGGCGACGACGGGUAGCCGGCCUGAGAGGGCGACCGGCCACACUGGGACUGAGACACGGCCCAGACUCCUACGGGAGGCAGCAGUGGGGAAUCUUGCGCAAUGGGCGAAAGCCUGACGCAGCGACGCCGCGUGAGGGAU